UACGUAGGUGGCAAGCGUUGUCCGGAUUUACUGGGCGUAAAGAGCGCGCAGGCGGUCGUACAAGUCGCGUGUGAAAGCCCCCGGCUCAACUGGGGAGGGUCACGCGAUACUGUUCGACUCGAAGGCAGGAGAGGGAAGCGGAAUUCCCGGUGUAGUGGUGAAAUGCGUAGAUAUCGGGAGGAACACCUGUGGCGAAAGCGGCUCACUGGACCGCAACUGACGCUGAGGCGCGAAAGCUAGGGGAGCAAACAGG
rnacentral:rRNA from 1 species